AUGGAGGGCCUCCUACACUGGGACUUUGCUACAGGGAUUGCCCUGGCCGAUCAGGUGAGAAGAAAAUUUGGUUCCACAGUUCAUUUCUCCCCCUCUCGAGGCUCCAAAUAGUUCUUCUUGGUGGUCUCCUUUUCUUCGGCCGCUUUUCCUCUGUCGGUGGAAUCUGUGGGUGUUGCACUCCAAUGCUGUCUUGGAGGGAUUUGCAAAUGGUUCAAUGUAUUACAACUUAAUUCCCGAUCAUUUCGGUUCUCUGUGGCAAAUAAUUCGGUGGGACAUUUUAUUUAUAGACUCAGAGACCGUAUUUGGCCUGAUUUUGUCUGUCAUUUCCAUUUGGUCAAUGGGAGAUUUGCCAAAGCCCCAAUUCUUGAUUCUCACUGGCAUGUAGACUCUGAGCUUGCUAACAUCUCCGAUCGGUGUCCUGUUGGAAUUAAAUCUUCAUUGGGGUUUUCACAGCCUGAUCGUGACUAUGCCCCUUCUUCUCGUGCGGUUUUACAAAAAUCUCAUUUGGUACGUUUGGAUCAUAUGCAAUUUUCCAAUAAGAAAGCUAUUGAGGCAUCAUCUUCGUUGAUCAAGAACAUGGUUACUCAUGAUCAAUCACCAAGUUCAUACAUUCAAUUUGGCUCCUUUACUCCUCUGAUGUGA
rnacentral:rRNA from 1 species